rnacentral:rRNA from 1 species
AUGCGCUCCGCAGUGAACGAGGAUGGAGCGCGCCCACGGCACCGCCUCUCCGCAGCCGAAGAUGGCCGUAGGCUCGAGCAGCCACGCGGAAUGGCGCUUCGGGCGCCCCUUCGAGGCGCCGUCGCCGCCCUCGACCGCCGCUCCGGCUCGUGGGCUCCGGCGCACCUAGGAUUUGCCGCCGCCCCGCUGCAGGGAGAUCCUCGCGACCCCGUCGUCAUCGCCUCUUUGUCGGACGAGGCGAGCUCCUCCUUCCGCGCCAAGCUCAGGGACUUCCGCAAGCCGGCCUCCCCCAGCGCGCGGGUCGCAAGAUUCCUCAACUCCAUUUUCGCCGUCAAGCGCAUGCCGUAUGCGCGAUCAUCGGCCUCGUCCUACUUGCGCUCCUGCCUGAGCAAGAUGCACCAUUGA